GCCCAAGUAGCACAAUGGUAGUGCGUUGCUUUCCUAUGCCCCAGUCAAUUGGAAGUGUGUGAAGGCAAAGGUUGUGGGUUCGAUCCCCAUCUUGGGUU